AUACGGAGGGUGCAAGCGUUAUCCGGAAUCAUUGGGUUUAAAGGGUCCGUAGGCGGACUAUUAAGUCAGAGGUGAAAUCCCACAGCUCAACUGUGGAACUGCCUUUGAUACUGGUAGUCUUGAGUUAUAUGGAAGUAGAUAGAAUGUGUAGUGUAGCGGUGAAAUGCAUAGAUAUUACACAGAAUACCGAUUGCGAAGGCAGUCUACUACGUAUAUACUGACGCUAAGGGACGAAAGCGUGGGGAGCGAACAGGAUUAGAUACCCCAGUAGUCC
rnacentral:rRNA from 1 species